rnacentral:rRNA from 1 species
AUUGAACGCUGGCGGCACGCUUUACACAUGCAAGUCGAACGGCAGCAUGAUCAAGCUUGCUUGAUUGAUGGCGAGUGGCGAACGGGUGAGUAAUACAUCGGAACGUGCCCUGUAGUGGGGGAUAACCUACCGAAAGGUAGGCUAAUACCGCAUACGACCUGAGGGUAAAAGUGGGGGACCGCAAGGCCUCACGCUAUAGGAGCGGCCGAUGGAAGAUUAGCUAGUUGGUGAGGUAAGGGCUCACCAAGGAGACGAUCUUUAGCGGGUCUGAGAGGACGAUCCGCCACACUGGGACUGAGACACGGCCCAGACUCCUACGGGAGGCAGCAGUGGGGAAUUUUGGACAAUGGGGGCAACCCUGAUCCAGCAAUGCCGCGUGAGUGAAGAAGGCCUUCGGGUUGUAAAGCUCUUUUGUUUGGGAAGAAAAGUCUGGUGCUAAUACCACUGGAUGCUGACGGUACCAAAAGAAUAAGCACCGGCUAACUACGUGCCAGCCGCCGCGGUAACAC